rnacentral:rRNA from 1 species
UACGGAGGGUGCGAGCGUUGUCCGGAAUCACUGGGCGUAAAGGGCGCGUAGGUGGCCUGUGGAAGUCUGCGGUGAAAGCCCGGCGCUCAACGCCGGGUCGGCCGUGGAUACUCUCGGGCUUGAGCUUACUAGAGGCAGAUGGAAUUCCGGGUGUAGCGGUGGAAUGCGUAGAGAUCCGGAAGAACACCGGUGGCGAAGGCGGUCUGCUGGGGUAAUGCUGGACACUGAGGCGCGACAGCGUGGGGAGCAAACAGGG